rnacentral:rRNA from 1 species
GACCAGUGGAGCGCGGGCGAGUGCGAAUGCCGGAACGAGUAACGACAAGACAGGUGGGAAGCCUGUCCGCCGAAAGCACAAGGUUUCCUGGGGAAGGUCAAUCCGCCCAGGGUCAGUCGGGACCUAAGGCGAGGCCCAAGGGCGUAGCCGAUGGACAGGCGGUUAAUAUUCCGCCACCCGAUGGUAAGGUUGAACCGCGGAGGACGCCGAGGAGAGUCAGGUCGGGGUGUUAGAUUACCCCGUGCCGCAAGGCCGACAGCAUUCGAUCUGGAAGCCUGAUGAACUCUCGGCCACGAAAAGCCCCGCGGGGACGAACCAUCCGGCCCGUACCGCAAUCCGACACAGGUGUGCUAGGCGAGUAUCCGAAGGCGUUCGGGAGAACCCUCGUGAAGGAACUCGGCAAAAUGACCCCGUACCUUCGGUACAAGGGGUGCUCUCCGUAAGGAGAGCCGCAGAGAAUCGGCUCUAGCGACUGUUUAUCAAAAACACAGGACUCUGCCAACUCGCAAGAGGACGUAUAGAGUCUGACGCCUGCUCGGUGUCGGUAGGUUAAGGGAGCCGAUGAGGCGCGAGCCGAAGUUGGCGACCGAAGCCCCGAUAAACGGCGGCCGUAACUAUGACGGUCCUAAGGUAGCGAAGUUCCUUGUCGGGUAAGUUCCGACCUGCAUGAAUGGCGUAACGACUGGAGCACUGUCUCCACGAGGGACCCGGUGAAACUGUAGCCGUGGUGAAGAUGCCACGUACCCGCGGUCAGACGGAAAGACCCCGUGAACCUUUACUGCAGGUUGGCAUUGGGUCAGCGUCCUUUCUGUGUAGCAUAGGUGGGAGGCCGUGAUCCGGCGGCGCCAGCCGUCGGGGAGCCAUCGGUGAAAUACCACCCUGAAAUGACUCUGAUCCUCACCGGUCCGUAGCCCGGACCGGGACCAUGCUCAUCGGGCAGUUUACUGGGGCGGUCUCCUCCCAAAGCGUAACGGAGGAGUGCAAUGGUACCCUCGGCCAGGUCGGCAAUCUGGCAACAUGAGCGCAAACGUAGAAGGGUGCCUGACUGCGAGACCCAUCAGUCGAGCAGGGACGAAAGUCGGCGUUAGUGAUCCGGCGGUGCUGGAUGGAAAGGCCGUCGCUCAACAGAUAAAAGGUACUCCGGGGAUAACAGGCUGAUCUCCCCCGAGCGUCCAUAGCGGCGGGGAGGUUUGGCACCUCGAUGUCGGCUCAUCGCAUCCUGGGGCUGGAGAAGGUCCCAAGGGUUUGGCUGUUCGCCAAUGAAAGCGGUACGCGAGCUGGGUUCAGACCGUCGUGAGACAGGUCGGUCCCUAUCUGCCGUGGGCGGAGGAAACUUGCGAAGGGUCUCCCCUAGUACGAGAGGAUUGGGGAGGACCGACCUCUGGUGUACCGGCUGUCCCGCUCGGGGCACCGCCGGGUAGCUAGGUCGGGAAAGGAUAAGCGCUGAAGGCAUCUAAGCGCGAAGCCCUCUUCAAGACGAGGUUUCCAGCACGUAAGUGCGAAGGCUCCUGGAAGACGACCAGGUCGAUAGGCCGGGAGUGCACGGCGAGUGAUCGCCGCAGCCGACCGGUCCUAACAGCCGAUCGCUUGACCA